rnacentral:rRNA from 1 species
ACCGUGGUAAUUCUAGAGCUAAUACAUGCUAAAAACCCCGACUUCGGAAGGGGUGUAUUUAUUAGAUAAAAAACCAAUGCCCUUCGGGGCUCUCUGGUGAAUCAUAAUAACUUCACGAAUCGCAUGGCCUUGCGCCGGCGAUGGUUCAUUCAAAUUUCUGCCCUAUCAACUUUCGAUGGUAAGAUAGAGGCUUACCAUGGUUUCAACGGGUAACGGGGAAUUAGGGUUCGACUCCGGAGAGGGAGCCUGAGAAACGGCUACCACAUCCAAGGAAGGCAGCAGGCGCGCAAAUUACCCAAUCCCGACACGGGGAGGUAGUGACAAUAAAUACUGAUACAGGGCUCUUUUGGGUCUUGUAAUUGGAAUGAGUACAAUUUAAAUCCCUUAACGAGGAACAAUUGGAGGGCAAGUCUGGUGCCAGCAGCCGCGGUAAUUCCAGCUCCAAUAGCGUAUAUUAAAGUUGUUGCAGUUAAAAAGCUCGUAGUUGAACCUUGGGCCUGGCUGGCCGGUCCGCCUCACCGCGUGUACUGGUCCGGCCGGGCCUUUCCUUCUGGGGAGCCGCAUGCCCUUCACUGGGCGUGUCGGGGAACCAGGACUUUUACUUUGAAAAAAUUAGAGUGUUCAAAGCAGGCCUUUGCUCGAAUACAUUAGCAUGGAAUAAUAGAAUAGGACGUGUGGUUCUAUUUUGUUGGUUUCUAGGACCGCCGUAAUGAUUAAUAGGGAUAGUCGGGGGCAUCCGUAUUCAAUUGUCAGAGGUGAAAUUCUUGGAUUUAUUGAAGACGAACUACUGCGAAAGCAUUUGCCAAGGAUGUUUUCAUUAAUCAGUGAACGAAAGUUAGGGGAUCGAAGACGAUCAGAUACCGUCGUAGUCUUAACCAUAAACUAUGCCGACUAGGGA